UUUGACCUCUAAUCACGUAGGGAUACCCGCUGAACUUAAGCAUAUCA
rnacentral:rRNA from 1 species